rfam:Pediculus humanus corporis strain TSDA 1103172086364, whole genome shotgun sequence.
GUUGGCUAUGGUGACAUGGCUCCGAAAACAUACGUCGGAAUGUUUGUCGGAGCAUUAUGUGCAUUAGCCGGAGUGCUCACAAUCGCAUUGCCUGUGCCUGUUAUAGUUGCUAAU